rnacentral:rRNA from 1 species
GAUCAUGGCUCAGGAUGAACGCUGGCGGCGCGCCUAACACAUGCAAGUCGAACGGCACCUAUCUUCGGAUAGAAGCGAGUGGCGAACGGCUGAGUAACACGUGGAGAACCUGCCCCCCUCCCCCGGGAUAGCCGCCCGAAAGGACGGGUAAUACCGGAUACCCCGGGGUGCCGCAUGGCACCCCGGCUAAAGCCCCCGACGGGAGGGGAUGGCUCCGCGGCCCAUCAGGUAGACGGCGGGGUGACGGCCCACCGUGCCGACAACGGGUAGCCGGG